rnacentral:misc_RNA from 1 species
AAGAAGCCAACGCUGACAGGUCAGAAGAAGCCAACGCUGAGGAAGCCAACGCUGACAGGUCAGAAGAAGCCAACGCUGAGGAAGCCAACGCUGACAGGUCAGAAGAAGCCAACGCUGAGGAAGCCAACGCUGACAGGUCAGAACAUGCCCACGCUGAGAGCGCUGACGCCGACUGAGCGGCACGCCCAAAGUCUAGCCACAAAAAGAAGACUAUGCCAGCACGUCUUUCACUCCGAAUUAGCUCAUCUUAAAGUACAAGAACCACGGGGGGCAGAUAAUAAAACUUAUUUCUUUGAACGUA